rnacentral:rRNA from 1 species
GGGCCCGCACAAGCGGAGGAGCAUGUGGUUUAAUUCGAUGAUACGCGAGGAACCUUACCAAGGCUUAAAUGUAAUAUGACCGGUUGAGAGAUCAACCUUUUUUCGAACAGAUUACAAGGUGCUGCAUGGUUGUCGUCAGCUCGUGCCGUGAGGUGUCGGGUUAAGUCCCAUAACGAGCGCAACCCCUAUUUUUAGUUACCAGCGAGUAAUGUCGGGAACUCUAGAAAAACUGCCUGUGCAAACAGAGAGGAAGGUGGGGAUGACGUCAAAUCAUCACGGCCCUUAUGUCUUGGGCUACACACGUGCUACAAUGGUUACUACAAUGUGAUGCCAUCUGGUGACAGAGAGCUAAUCAAUAAAGGUAAUCUCAGUUCGGAUCGGAGUCUGCAACUCGACUCUGUGAAGUUGGAUUCGCUAGUAAUCG